ACUAUUUAAAUUUUAUUUCUAAUGGCAUACAUAUGUAAUUACUUACAAAAAAUAAGGUUACAUUUAAAAUGUACUUCCCAAAUAAUAUAGUAGGAUUGUUUUCAUUUCUAUGAUA
rnacentral:sRNA from 1 species